rnacentral:rRNA from 1 species
UACGUAGGGGGCUAGCGUUGUCCGGAAUCAUUGGGCGUAAAGAGCGUGUAGGCGGCCCGGUAAGUCCGCUGUAAAAGUCAAAGGCUCAACCUUUGAACGUCAGUGGAUACUGCCGGGCUAGAGUCCGGAAGAGGCGAGUGGAACUCCUGGUGUAGCGGUGGAAUGCGCAGAUAUCAGGAAGAACACCAACGGCGAAGGCAGCUCGCUGGGACGGUACUGACGCUGAGACGCGAAAGCGUGGGGAGCGAACAGG